rnacentral:misc_RNA from 1 species
AAGGAUCAUUAACAAAUCUCUUCUACAUACUAUCCACACAUGUGCACUGAUGCCUGGAGCUCGCUGGCCGCCCGUCGGCCGGCGCCGCGCCGGGUUGUUACAUUUACAUUAUUAAACUCCUAUUUGUCAGACUGAAAUAUAUCUUAAACAUAUACAACUUUUAACAAUGGAUCUCUUGGCUCUU